rnacentral:rRNA from 1 species
AUUGAACGCUGGCGGCAGGCCUAACACAUGCAAGUCGAACGAGUUGCGGAAGGGUGAGUAAUGACUGGGAAACUGCCUGAUGGAGGGGGAUAACUACUGGAAACGGUAGCUAAUACCGCAUACCAUCGGAUGUGCCCAGAUGGGAUUAGCUAGUAGGUGGGGUAAAGGCUCACCUAGACGACUAUCCCUAGCUGGUCUGAGAGGAUGACCAGCCACACGGUAACUGAGACACGGUCCAGACUCCGACGGGAGGCAUCAGUUGGGAAUAGUGCAAAAUGGGCGCAAGCCUGAUGGAGCCAGUCCGCGUGUAUGAAGAAGGCCUUCGGGUUGGAAAGGACUUGCAGCGGGGAGGCGUUACCCGCAGAAGAAGCACCGGCUAACUCCGUGCCAGCAGCCGCGGUAAUAC